rnacentral:rRNA from 1 species
CCGGUUGAUCCUGCCGGAGGUCACUGCUAUCGGGGUUCGAUUAAGCCAUGCGAGUCGAGAGGGUUCAGACCCUCGGCGGACUGCUCAGUAACACGUGGAUAACCUGGCCUAAGGUGGAGGAUAACCCCGGGAAACUGGGGAUAAUACUCCAUAAGAUUAGAGGAUACUGGAAUGUUCUUUAAUCGAAAGUUCCGGCGCCUUAGGGUGGAUCUGCGGCCGAUUAGGUAGUUGUUGGGGUAACGGCCCAACAAGCCCGUAAUCGGUACGGGUUGUGGGAGCAAGAGCCCGGAGAUGGAAUCUGAGACACGAUUCCAGGCCCUACGGGGCGCAGCAGGCGCGAAAACUUUACAAUGCAGGAAACUGUGAUAAGGGAACCCCGAGUGCCCGUAUACGCGGGCUGUCCAGGUGUUUAAAAUGCAUCUGAAGAAAGGGCCGGGCAAGACCGGUGCCAGCCGCCGCGGUAAUACCGGCGGCUCGAGUGGUGGCCACUUUUAUUGGGCUUAAAGCGUUCGUAGCUGGAUUUUUAAGUCUCUUGGGAAAUCUGCAGGCUUAACCUGCAGGCGUUUAAGAGAUACUGGGAAUCUAGGAACCGGGAGAGGUAAGAGGUACUCCAGGGGUAGAAGUGAAAUUCUGUAAUCCUUGGGGGACCACCGAUGGCGAAGGCAUCUUACCAGAACGGCUUCGACAGUGAGGAACGAAAGCUGGGGGAGCGAACCGGAUUAGAUACCCGGGUAGUCCCAGCCGUAAACGAUGCGCGUUAGGUGUACCGGUGACCACGAGUCACUGGGGUGCCGAAGGGAAACCGUGAAACGUGCCGCCUGGGAAGUACGGUCGCAAGGCUGAAACUUAAAGGA